GUUGAACGCUGGCGGCAGGCCUAACACAUGCAAGUCGAGCGGAUGAAGGGAGCUUGCUCCUGGAUUCAGCGGCGGACGGGUGAGUAAUGCCUAGGAAUCUGCCUGGUCGUGGGGGCUAACGUCCGGAAACGGGCGCUAAUACCGCAUCCGUCCUGAGGUAGAAAGUGGGGGAUCUUCGGACCUCACGCUAUCAGCUGAGCCUAGGUCGGAUUAGCUAGUUGGUGGGGUAAAGGCCUACCAAGGCGACGAUCCGUAACUGGUCUGAGAGGAUGAUCAGUCACACUGGAACUGAGACACGGUCCAGACUCCUACGGGAGGCAGCAGUGGGGAAUAUUGGACAAUGGGCGAAAGCCUGAUCCAGCCAUGCCGCGUGUGUGAAGAAGGUCUUCGGAUUGUAAAGCACUUUAAGUUGGGAGGAAGGGCAGUAAGUGAAUACCUUGCUGUUUUGACGUUACCAACAGAAUAAGCACCGGCUAACUUCGUG
rnacentral:rRNA from 1 species